GGGCUACACUGCUGGCGCGGGAUGGCCCAGGACAGAGUGGGCGCUAUAGCAGCCGAGGGACAGACAGAGAAUUGCGACUAGAAUUCGAUCGAUUGGUACGAGGGACCACGUGGCCAGGGGCUGGCCAAUGACCAGGCCGCCCGGGAUGAGCUAAUAAUGGAAGCAAUUUGUAACUUUCAGUAGCUCUCUAGGCCUGGGUACCGGAGGGAGGGAGGCGGGCAGAGGAGGGGAGAUGGGCACCCCCAGUCUUUCCAUCCUCCUCAUUCGUCUAGGGGCACCCGAAUCCCCUAUUCCUUAUUUCCCCUAUCACUCAGGCACUGGCAGGGUCCUUGGCCCACUCCUGUUGGCCGCCGCGGCUCCAAAGCGAGAUGUGCCUGAGACAGGUUUGACCAGGCAACUGAAAAGACAUCCCUAAGGGAAGACAAAGCAAAGGUAUGAAAGGAACACACGUCCCUGACUGACUAGGAGGAACAGAGCUGCCUGCUGUCUGGAACCGCUUCCUCCCAGACUAAGGUUUCCCAGAGGAAGAGAGAGAAUUUGGACAAAUGAAUGAGGGACAACGUUCUCCUGAGGGUUUUCUUUAAGGGGCGAGGAUCACUGCCGCUAGCUCCUUUGAAAGCAGAAUUAAGAGGCAGUGCAGGAAGGCACAGCAGGAAGGCUCAUGGUUAGACCACAGAGAAGGAAGCAGCCACUGCUGGGGACCUACCCGGUGCUGGUCACUGACAAGCUGUCUCAUUAAACCUUCUCAGACCC
rnacentral:lncRNA from 1 species